rnacentral:ribozyme from 1 species
AGACAUUCCACAAACUGGGUGAGUGGGUCACGGAACGUGUAUUGUUCUUGUUGGAUUACGCUUACCAACUUGCUCCUAAAUUUUCUGUGUUUCUUUGGUGAACAAACCACAGCUGCAGCGAGGUAAC